CACCGACACCGUAGCGACAGGAACGCUGUCUUGCUUGCAGACUGACACGACUUGCCGCUGAGAAGGCCCACAGGGGACAGGUCGUGGAUGGCCUCGGGUGUCAGCCCCCACCUCUGGCUAGAAGGGAAGCACCGUUAAGGCAGAGCUGUUCAUCGGCUUUGUUCGCUGGUG